GGCAAAAUUCUGGUGUCAGCCGCCGCGGUAAAACCAGCAACCUCAAGUGGUCAGGAUGAUUAUUGGGCCUAAAGCAUCCGUAGCCGGCUUUGUUAGUUUUUCGGUUAAAUCCAUGUGCUCAACGCAUGGGCUGCCGAAAAAUACUGCAUGGCUAGGGAGUGGGAGAGGUAGACGGUACUCAGUAGGAAGGGGUAAAAUCCUUUGAUCUAUUGAUGACCACCUGUGGCGAAGGCGGUCUACCAGAACACGUUCGACGGUGAGGGAUGAAAGCUGGGGGAGCAAACCGGAUUAGAUACCCGGGUAGUCCCAGCUGUAAACGAUGCAGACUCGAUGAUGCAUUGGCAUAAUAGCCAGUGCAGUGUCGCAGGGAAGCCGUUAAGUCUGCCGCCUGGGAAGUACGUACGCAAGUAUGAAACUUAAAGGAAUUGGCGGGGGAGCACCACAAGGGGUGAAGCCUGCGGUUCAAUUGGAGUCAACGCCAGAAAUCUUACCCGGAGAGACAGCAGAAUGAAGGUCAAGCUGAAGACUUUACCAGACAAGCUGAGAGGUGGUGCAUGGCCGUCGCCAGCUCGUGCCGUGAGAUGUCCUGUUAAGUCAGGUAACGAGCGAGAUCCCUGCCACUAGUUGCUAUCAUUAUUCUCAGGAAUAGUGGGGCGAAUUAGUGGGACUGCCGUUGUUAAAACGGAGGAAGGAAGGGGCUACG
rnacentral:rRNA from 1 species